rnacentral:rRNA from 1 species
GAUGAACGCUGGCGGCGUGCUUAACACAUGCAAGUCGAACGGAAAGGCCACAGCUUGCUGUGGUACUCGAGUGGCGAACGGGUGAGUAACACGUGGUUGAUCUGCCCUGUACUUCGGGAUAAGCUUGGGAAACUGGGUCUAAUACCGGAUAGGAAUCACAUGUGGGUGUGUGGUUGGAAAGCUUUUGCGGUAUGGGAUGAGCUCGCGGCCUAUCAGCUUGUUGGUGGGGUAAUGGCCUACCAAGGCGUCGACGGGUAGCCGGCCUGAGAGGGUGUACGGCCACAUUGGGACUGAGAUACGGCCCAGACUCCUACGGGAGGCAGCAGUGGGGAAUAUUGCACAAUGGGCGCAAGCCUGAUGCAGCGACGCCGCGUGGGGGAUGACGGCCUUCGGGUUGUAAACUCCUUUCGUCAGGGACGAAGCGAAAGUGACGGUACCUGGAUAAGAAGCACCGGCUAACUACGUG